rnacentral:rRNA from 1 species
CACGUAGGGUGCGAGCGUUGUCCGGAAUUAUUGGGCGUAAAGAGCUCGUAGGCGGUGUGUCGCGUCGGCCGUGAAAACCUGCAGCUUAACUGUGGGCUUGCGGUCGAUACGGGCAUCACUGGAGUUCGGCAGGGGAGACUGGAAUUCCUGGUGUAGCGGUGAAAUGCGCAGAUAUCAGGAGGAACACCCGGUGGGCGAAAGG